AUGUCAGUAAACUAUGGUUAAGUUGUGGGUUUCAUAGAUCCAAAAAGUCAAUAAUGCUGAUUUGACAUA
rnacentral:tRNA from 1 species